GACACAGAAGGCGACGCCUAGGGCUGUGUUGUCCCGGAAGUGCCUUCUCUCCUCCCGGGUCUGCGCGGACGCGGCCUCCUUACCUCAUUUGUCCUCGCCCCUCCCCGUCCCUCUACGCGUUUUGGUCCCUGUUUGGUGCUUUCUGUUUGCAGCUACGGCAGUGAGUAUGCUGGAGUGUAGUGGCGUGAUCAUAGCUCACUGUCAACUUUGAACACUUGGGCUCAAGCUAUCCUCCCUCAGCCUCCCAAGGUGGGAGGUACAGAUCUGGGCAUAGGAACCAAUCAGAAACAAUCGCUUCAGCAAUCAAGACCAUUGUUCAUCAUGGAGGAACCCAUGGAUACCUCUGAGCCUCUAUCUGCAUUACCAUUCACUGGGCAGCAGUCUUUUGAGCCAAGUGGCAAAUUUGGACAGUAUCCAUCGAUGCAGAUGAACCACAUCCAGGCACUGGGGAAGUGGAGGACAUAGAACAGCUCAAUCAGUGUUUGAUCCAACACUUCCAUCUCAUUAAGACAAGUUUGAUUUUUCUUUGCUUUUUAUUUCAUGGAAUACAUGAGAAUCUCUUAACUGUUGGAGUUUCCAAGGAGGCAUACCUCAUGACUUCAGUUAAUGGAAAGAACAAAACUAAAAUGCUGUAUGGCCAAAGCCACAAAGGGAAGGAUCCACAAUUUACAUUCUUGGAGCUAUCAUCUGUACUGUACUGUUGUGAUCUACUGAUUGGCAUUGGCAUAGUAGUAGGGGUCAAGUGACAGAAUCCGUGCCAGCAGUCUCCAGGUUCAGAAGCAAUUCAAGACCCUGAUGAUAGCUCUCCAGCAACCAACACAUGGUGAUUGUGCCAACUUGUUGCUCAGUUAUAAUGCAGGGCCAGUGAUUGGUUUAAGUGAAGACCAUGGUUGAGAUCAUUUGUCUUUGGUCUAAUAGAAUUUGAGUCUAGUAGAAUUUGAGUCUCCAGGGAAAGAGCUACUUGACCAAAUUAAACUAGUAGCAGGUAGAGCAUGAAUGACAGCAUAUUAUACCAUCAAGAUGUUCUUAGAGCAGUGUAUGGAUGGAUCGAUUGUACUGCCAUCAGUUGUGACUGACGUUGUAUUCAAGGAGAAAGAGAAACUUGUUUAGAAAGCACUUUGAAAGUUUUUUGAGUACGGGGGUGCCCUGUAUCACCCCGUUAUGGUUGAACUUUCUCCUUCAAAAUUACCAGACUUGGCAGCAGUGGCAAAUUAUUGGGCUAAAAGACUUAAUCAGACAUAUUCUGGGUUCAAGGCUCCUAAUAUAAUACCUGGUGCAAACAUUAUACUUCCACUCAUUCAGAUGGUUGCAUCCUGCCAGGCAUCCAGUGGGACUGGGAAUAUGGACACUUGAACAUUAAACAUCCUGAAGAAUUUUGGAAUGACAGGUUACAAGUGAACAUAAUCAGUUCUCUAUAUUAAAAAAAAAAAAAGAUUUGGGCAUAGAUUGGGCUCACAUAAUCUUUAGAGAGAUUUUUUCAUUUUUGUGAAAGUACAGAAAUUCUUAACUGCUUAUGAAAUGCUGAUUGUUAAACAGCAUCCACAGCUAUUUUGUGUUGUUUCCCUGACCCCACCCUGAAGAAAAGAAAAAUUAUGGCAUAUUGAAAACAGCAGUAUGAUGUAAGAGAAAAGAUCACAAA
ensembl:lncRNA EBLN3P endogenous Bornavirus like nucleoprotein 3, pseudogene